rnacentral:rRNA from 1 species
ACGCUCGACACCUACGGGGAGGCAGCAGGUGGGGAAUAUUGCACAAGUGGGGGAAACCCUGAUGCAGCGACGCCGCGUGGAGGAAGAAGGUCUUCGGAUUGUAAACUCCUGUUGUUAGGGGAAAAAGAGGAUGGUACCCAACAAGGAAGUGACGGCUAACUACGUGCCGANNCGCGAGUAUNGNGGCGNGNGAGAG